GACACUCACAUGUCAGGCCCAUGAAUGUGUGUGACUUUGUGACUUAUAUAUUAUAUAUGUGCCCUCAAACACAAGAUGCUGCUGUGGCAAGAUAAAAUGAGACUUCUAAACAGCGCGCGAGAUUUGAGGGUCUGAGGAAUAAUUUGACGAUAUUUGAAGGUCUACUUCACAAAAGUAGAAAUAGUGGGAAGACCCACCCCAAACCUGGGCUGUACCUUCUGGUGGCAACCCACAUAAAAGGACAUGGAAGAAGGAAGCUUUUACCUUUUGCCUUCUUGACCUACUCUCAAGGGCAGGUUCAUCUACCCUGCUGCUGAGGUAUUCCUUUGCUGGUAUUAGGACCUGCCUCUUCAGGAUUCUGAUGCAGACUGAAGAUCAGAAGCUCUGUAGGAAUUCUCCAGGGCCCCAGCACCAGACUGGGGUUGCUGAGAAUAGUCUGGACUGAACAACUCUAGGAAUCUUGGCCUUUCCAUCGGGAGACACCUGUUAUUGGACUACAUGACUGCAGCCUGUAAAACUCUCUAAUAAACCCCCUUUAUAUGCAUGCAUGACUGUGUGCAUGCUCGUGUGU